rnacentral:rRNA from 1 species
GACUAACGCUGACGGUGUGCCUAAUACAUGCAAGUCGAACGAGUAGUAUGUUGGUGGCAACACCUUUAUACUGCUAGUGGCGAACGGGUGCGUAACGCGUGGGCAAUCUGCCUUAAAGACUGGGAUAACUCCUCGAAAGAGGUGCUAAUACCGGAUGGUCUAUAUUAAUCUCAUGAUCUAUAUAGUAAAGGUAGCCGCAAGGCUUCUGCUUUAAGAUGAGCCCGCGUCCUAUUAGCUUGUUGGUGGGGUAACGGCCUACCAAGGCAAUGAUGGGUAGCCGGUCUGAGAGGAUGGUCGGCCACACUGGGACUGAGAUACGGCCCAGACUCCUACGGGAGGCUGU